rnacentral:rRNA from 1 species
UGGGGAAUAUUGCACAAUGGGCGCAAGCCUGAUGCAGCCAUGCCGCGUGUGUGAAGAAGGCCUUCGGGUUGUAAAGCACUUUCAGCGAGGAGGAAGGUGGUGAGCUUAAUACGCUCAUCAAUUGACGUUACUCGCAGAAGAAGCACCGGCUAACUCCGUGCCAGCAGCCGCGGUAAUACGGAGGGUGCAAGCGUUAAUCGGAAUUACUGGGCGUAAAGCGCACGCAGGCGGUUUGUUAAGUCAGAUGUGAAAUCCCCGGGCUCAACCUGGGAACUGCAUUUGAAACUGGCAAGCUAGAGUCUCGUAGAGGGGGGUAGAAUUCCAGGUGUAGCGGUGAAAUGCGUAGAGAUCUGGAGGAAUACCGGUGGCGAAGGCGGCCCCCUGGACGAAGACUGACGCUCAGGUGCGAAAGCGUGGGGCAGCAAACAGGAUUAGAUACCCUGGUAGUCCACGCUGUAAACGAUGUCGAUUUUGGAGGUUGUGCCCUUGAGGCGUGGCUUCCGGAGCUAACGCGUUAAAUCGACCGCCUGGGGAGUACGGCCGCAAGGUUAAAACUUAAAGGAAUUGC